AACAGACACUUCCUGUACAGGGGAGGGGGGAGGGGGCCAGGCAGCCGUUAGACAGCACAACCGAACCCAACACCGGGGCCCAACGGCAGGGGCUUGGGCAGGAGCAAGGUCCGAGGGCUGCCAGGUCCACGCUGCUUUUAUGAGCUGUAACACUCACCGCGAAGAUCUGCAGCUUCACUCCUGAGCCCAGCGAGACCACGAGCCCACCGGGAGGAACAAACAACUCCAGACGCGCUGCCUUAAGAGCUGUAACACUUGCCGUGAAGGUCUGCAGCUUCACUCCUGAGCCAGCGAGACCACGAACCCACCAGAAGGAAGAAACUCCGAACACAUCUCAACAUCAGAACGGACAGACUCCAGACGCACCACCUUAAGAGCUGUAACACUCACCGCGAGGUUCCGCGGCUUCAUUCUUGAAGUUCGUGAGCCACACAUCUCCCCACACCAAGCUCCUCCAUACAAGACCUCGGACUGCAUCACGUAAAUGCUUUUUCAGGGGCAAAAUCUAGAGAAUCUGAAACGAGCUAUCAGCUUCCCAGUUUGCACAAUUCAUCAAGAAAUUAUGCGGGGUCACUGGCACAAAUGAUGAGGCAUCUCCUGGAAGCUUAACUUCUUAUCCAUCCCAUCUCUUGGACAGAUGAUGCCAGUUAAUUACUUUGAAUCCAAAAGAGACCUGCCAGCUACAGUCAGCAUCGGUCAACCAUCUGUGAAACUGUGAGCUGACAACUUGUCCCCUCCCGGCGAAGGCCACAACAUCCCAACACCAUUAGUCACCAAGGAAGUCUGGGAGAAGUUUCUACCAACUGUAGCGAAAAAGGUGCAAGGGAGGAAACAUUUUGUUACUGCUGGCCCACUCUUCCCUCCGAAACAGCGCGGCAGCAUCUGGCAGAAAGAAAGUACAAGGGACUUCUAAGUGGG
rnacentral:lncRNA from 1 species